UACGAAGGGAGCAAGCGUUGUCCGGAUUUAUUGGGCGUAAAGAGCGUGUAGGCGGCCAGACAGGUCCGUUGUGAAAACUGGAGGCUUAACCUCCAGACGUCGAUGGAAACCGUCUGGUUAGAGUCCGGAAGAGGAGAGUGGAAUUCCUGGUGUAGCGGUGAAAUGCGCAGAUAUCAGGAAGAACACCCGUGGCUAAGGCGGCUCUCUAGUACGGUACUGACGCUGAGACGCGAAAGCGUGGGGAGCGAACAGG
rnacentral:rRNA from 1 species